rnacentral:rRNA from 1 species
UAUCCUGACCGUGCGAAGGUAGCGUAAUCAUUUGUCUUUUAAAUAGAGACCUGUAUGAAUGGCAUAACGAGGGUUUAACUGUCUCCCUCCCCUAGUCAAUGAAAUUGAUCUGCCCGUGCAGAAGCGGACAUAAAUACAUAAGACGAGAAGACCCUAUGGAGCUUUAGACAAAAGAUCAAACAUGUAAAGAAACCAAACUAACCAAAAGGAACACAAAGGCCACAAAACCCGACGUAAAAUGAUCCAAAUGUCUUCGGUUGGGGCGACCAUGGGGGAAAGAAAAACCCCCACGAGGAACCAGGGGCAAUCCAUUAAGCCAAGAGAUACACCUCUAAGCAACAGAAAAUCUGACCAAAAAUGACCCAGGACACUAAUCCUGAUCAACGAACCAAGUUACCCUAGGGAUAACAGCGCAAUCCUUUCCCAGAGUCCAUAUCGACGAAAGGGUUU